rnacentral:tRNA from 1 species
AUUUUUCUAAUAUAAAAAGUAUAGUUAACUUCCAAUUAACAAGUCUAGGUGCUAGGAAAAAUA